rnacentral:rRNA from 1 species
GAACGGGAUGCUUAGGCAUCUAGUGGCGGACGGGUGAGUAACGCGUGAGAAUCUGGCUUCAGGAUGGGGACAACAGUUGGAAACGGCUGCUAAGACCCGAUGUGCCGCAAGGUGAAAUAUUUAUAGCCUGAAGAUGAGCUCGCGUCUGAUUAGCUAGUUGGGGAGGUAAAGGCUCACCAAGGCAGCGAUCAGUAGCUGGUCUGAGAGGAUGACCAGCCACACUGGGACUGAGACACGGCCCAGACUCCUACGGGAGGCAGCAGUGGGGAAUUUUCCGCAAUGGGCGAAAGCCUGACGGAGCAAUACCGCGUGAGGGAGGAAGGCUCUUGGGUUGUAAACCUCUUUUCUUAGGGAAGAAAAAAAUGACGGUACCUAAGGAAUAAGCAUCGGCUAACUCCGUGCCAGCAGCCGCGGUAAUACGGAGGAUGCAAGCGUUAUCCGGAAUGAUUGGGCGUAAAGCGUCCGCAGGUGGCGAUUCAAGUCGAUUGUCAAAGGUCUCGGCUCAACUGAGAACAGGCAGUGGAAACUGAACAGCUAGAGUGCGGUAGGGGUAGAGGGAAUUCCCGGUGUAGCGGUGAAAUGCGUAGAGAUCGGGAAGAACACCAGUGGCGAAAGCGCUCUACUAGACCGCAACUGACACUCAGGGACGAAAGCUAGGGGAGCGAAUGGGAUUAGAUACCCCAGUAGUCCUAGCCGUAAACGAUGGAUACUAGGCGUUGCUUGUAUCGACCCAAGCAGUGCCGUAGCUAACGCGUUAAGUAUCCCGCCUGGGGAGUACGCGCGCAAGCGUG